GACGAACGCUGGCGGCGUGCUUAACACAUGCAAGUCGAACGGAAAGGCCCUGCUUUUGUGGGGUGCUCGAGUGGCGAACGGGUGAGUAACACGUGAGUAACCUGCCCUUGACUUUGGGAUAACUUCAGGAAACUGGGGCUAAUACCGGAUAGGAGCUCCUGCUGCAUGGUGGGGGUUGGAAAGUUUCGGCGGUUGGGGAUGGACUCGCGGCUUAUCAGCUUUUUGGUGGGGUAGUGGCUUACCAAGGCUUUGACGGGUAGCCGGCCUGAGAGGGUGACCGGCCACAUUGGGACUGGGAUACGGCCCAGACUCCUACGGGAGGCAGCAGUGGGGAAUAUUGCACAAUGGGCGGAAGCCUGAUGCAGCAACGCCGCGUGCGGGAUGACGGCCUUCGGGUUGUAAACCGCUUUCGCCUGUGACGAAGCGUGAGUGACGGUAAUGGGUAAAGAAGCACCGGCUAACUACGUG
rnacentral:rRNA from 1 species